GUGCUCACCUUGGCAGCACAUACAUUAAAAUUGGAACGAUACAAAGAAGAUUAGCAUGGCUUCUGCAGAAGGAUGACAUGCAAAUUAGUGAAGCAUUUCAUAUUUUU
ensembl:snRNA U6 U6 spliceosomal RNA